rnacentral:rRNA from 1 species
UACGGGGGGGGGCAAGCGUUGUUCGGAAUUACUGGGCGUAAAGGGCUCGUAGGCGGCCAACUAAGUCAGACGUGAAAUCCCUCGGCCUAACCGGGGAACUGCGUCUGAUACUGGAUGGCUUGAGUUUGGGAGAGGGAUGCGGAAUUCCAGGUGUAGCGGUGAAAUGCGUAGAUAUCUGGAGGAACACCGGUGGCGAAGGCGGCAUCCUGGACCAACACUGACGCUGAGUGAGCGAAAGCCAGGGGAGCAAACGGG